CAAACGACUCUCGGCAACGGAUAUCUCGGCUCUCGCAUCGAUGAAGAACGUAGCGAAAUGCGAUACUUGGUGUGAAUUGCAGAAUCCCGUGAACCAUCGAGUCUUUGAACGCAAGUUGCGCCCGAAGCCAUCAGGCCAAGGGCACGUCUGCCUGGGCGUCACG
rnacentral:rRNA from 3 species